GUCUUUGUAGUAUAUUAAUUACUUUGGUCUUGUAAACCAAAAAUGGAGAACACCAUCUCCCUAAGACUCAAGGAAGA
rnacentral:tRNA from 2 species